GUCCAGAGGAGGUUCUGGUCCGUGUGUGUGGGUUUCCUGUAAACUGUUAUUUUGAUGCUGCUGUCUUCUCUGUGGUGAAUGUUCAUGUCCAGGAAUGAAAUGGUCCGGUUUAUUUCCUCUUCGUGUGUGGAUUGUAUGUUUCCCGUGUCGUCCAUGUUGUUCAGAUGAUCAGUGAGUUCUUGUGUGUGUCCAGAUUUUAUUAUUUCCAGGAUGUCGUGGACGUAUCUUCUCCAGAGUGUGGGUCUGCAGAGCGGGGAUGGCUUUGGUUUCCAGGUCCUCCAUGAAAAAGUUACUCAUUAUGGCUGAAAGUGGAUCUUUUUUUCAACUUUAUUUUACCAGCAUUAAAACUUUGUCUGCAGAGAGAAAAGAACGACUCCGUUUUUUGCCAGACUGGAGGAUGUUGGAGGGAGUCUGUUAAUCUCUCUGGACCUGACAUUUGAAAACCUCCACCUCUCCUCACCCUCCCAGCCCACUGAUGUGAGGAAAUCCAGCUCUGAACAGACUGAACUCCUAAAUCCCUCCUGGAAGCUUCACCCUGAACAGACAACUGCAACGCCGUGGUAACGGGCAGAUUACAGGUAACA